CCUGCGGCCCAGGACCCGCCCGCGGCCGCGGGGCCAAAGGCGAGGCGAGCCCGCGGCGCUGCCCCGGGGCCGGGCGGGGUGCGGCGCUCAGGUGUUUUCCACCUCGGCAAGACAUUGACCGCGGCCGGGUCACAGAGCCACGCGGGGGUGAGGAGGGAGGAGGAGCGGACCAGGCACUGGGAUAGGGCGAUUUCAACACUACAACUUUCCACCUCGGCUUUUCUUUCCCCCUCCGCCUACCCUAAGUGGCUUAAGGUAGCGACGAGCCAUCUCCAGGUUAUAUUCUCGAGCGAGUGUUGGAGGUGGCGGGGCAAUUGCAGCACGUAGCUACAGUCAGGAUCCUUGCGGUGGUAUCUGGUGAAAGGCUUUGGCUGAAGCUGCUUGCAUCUGUGAACAGUAGUGCCCUCGGAUCUUCAAAUGGGGUGUUUCAAGCUUAGCUUCUGUGCAAGAGGUGAGAAAGGAAGGCUGGACGAACCGACUGGAAGAAUUGACCAAAAAAACAUCAGAGUCUCUCCCGUGUAAAGUCAGUGAGUCUGAGAACAGCACUUCUGGAUAGAAAAUACAGGUGUAACCAGAUAAAUGAAUGAACACCACACUACACAGACUUGCAGUCCAAGGGCUAUUCACCCCAAAAUGAUGAGGAAGGAGAAGCUAAUGCAAAUUAACUAGUUAAAUAUAUAUAUAUUGGAAUAUAUAUACCAAGAUCUUAUGCAUUCUACUAUAUCAUUGUAACUGCCAAUAUCAAAGAUUAAAUAAAUACAGAAAAGCAACUGAGUAACAGAACUGCUAAAUUAUUCCUGAUGCUGAUAGACAUGUUGCUAAUACCUCACUGCUUACACUGACACCGACAGGAUUAAUUGGUCCAAGAAGGGGGUAGAAGGGAUAGAACAAAAAAUUCAAUUGUAGUACUACCAAACACUACCCCAUACCAUGAACAUUUUUUCUUCUCAAAGACUAAAACCACUUGCUUUAACAUUGACAGCAGAAUCUUAACUCCAAUUAUAUGUUACUAAAGUUCAAGCUUUAUUAGUGACUGAAAAGAAGAAAAAGAAAAGAUGGAAUGAUGGCCGUGGUCAACAAGGGGUCAACAACAGAUGUCAUAUUGUAAUGGAGAUACCACUCUGUAUCCAUGCAUCCUGCUUCUUCUAGUAUGCAGAAAAGAUAAUAAGGAGGAGGAUACCAGAGAUACUGAAUUCUUUCUUCUACAAACCCUGUAAACCAAUUAUGCUCAAGUGAAAUAUCUUCUACUGAGUAGUGGGGACAGUUUCCAUUGCCACAGGUAAGCAAACUUAGUGAGAAGCAACUCUAUUACCAGUGGCUAAAAAUUAUAAUGAAUAUUUUUACAAAUACUGUAGGUCUCUUUCUUAUGCAAACCACAUGAUUUUAGGUCAUAACAGCAUAGCUGAAUUUAAAAUACUCUUAUUUUUUAUAAAACCACAAAUUGUUUUUUCAGGUUUGCCUAUGUAAAAAUAUUGUGGUAAGAGGCAAUUUAAAUAUAUGUAUAAAAAUCAAGUAUAACAUUGUUCAUAGUUGCAAAUAAGUGAUACAAAUGAUAAAUAGAUUUUUUUGGGGGUGUAGGUCUCUUUCCAAUCAAAAUAUUGUAACUAAACAACGACAAGAAAAUCACAAGUAACCCACAUCAUGAGGAAAUAGAUACUAUCACAAAGUGUGUAACACAUUUCAGGCUGGGCAUAUACAACAGUAAUUCCUGGUUAUUGAAAAAAUUAAGAUGUAUUACAGAUUAGAGUAUUUGCAACCAAAAGUAAAGAACUGUAAAAACUCUGAGCUCAUUGACCUUUAAUAUUCAGUCAUGGUCUGAAGGUUUCUAGAAUAUACUGUAGGGGCAGUACAUACAAUUCCCAACCAACAAACACUGUUCCAGUCCUCUUGGGCUAUUACUAGAGACACUGCCAACAAGCACAUUUAAACAUAUUGUUUGAAAACUUCAGCAAAUUAAUUUUUUUUUUCUUUCUUUCAGUUUCUGACUUAAAUCAGACAUAGGGGUAUUGCCACUACAGUGAUCCUGCUCUCUGAAUAUACUCACUUGAAUGGUUUUUUUUCUUAACCCUCAAAAAUUAUGCAGCAAUUAAUUGCUGUCAGA